GGCCACUUACGUCCACUCUACAGCUGAUCUACCUCAGAUGCGCAUUUUUUUCCACACUCUCACAACCUCUUCUUCCCCAUAAAAAAGUAAAUAAACUAAAUUAUGAUAUUUCUCUGAAAAAUUCGAUUCUAUUCUCGAAAUUUGAUGUUUCUGAUUUUUUUUAAAGGUUGAAUUUCGAUGUGUUAUUUAGCCGUCGGUGUUUAUUUUUCAGAAAGCUUGAAUCUUAAGGCAUCUCAGGAUGACAAGUGAGUUAUUUGAGGUAUGAAUUUAUAGGGUUUUUAUUUUCUUAGAAUUUAACUUUAUUUUUCACCCUUCCUCUUUUGGUAAUGAUCUUUAUAAUUCAUGUAUUCUAAAGAAAUUGAAUUUAUACUUCGCUGUUUUAGGUUAGAAAUCCCCUUUGACACUAAUUUUGGCGUUUGUGCUUUAAGUAAUGAUAAUCUGAAAUUUUGCCGGUCUUUAGGUGUUCCGGGUAGAAGACAUCACUUAAUUUCAUCUCUAUAUGUGGGGAAAGUUGUAUAAUUGAGGGAAAUAAUCAAAUAGCUUUGCUUUUUGCAAAACUAAGUUUGGAAAUAAAUUUAGAGAUUGGGCAUUAACACUUCUUGGACGUGGGGCUUGAUGGACGAUACUCGGGAGGAUGAUAGGUACCCGUCCAAUCCUUAUGGCAUAAAUGACCAAGAUUUUCCCAUUCGGAAUGCCACUUAUGUUGGGAAUGUUGGUAAUGAGUAUGUUGAGGAUGAAGAUAAUGAUGAUGAUAACGAAGAUAUGGAAUAUGAAGACGAUGAUGAUGAUGAUGGUGGAGGGUCUAGUGUUCAGAGGAUUAAAGAUGAUUAUGCUGAUGAUGAUGUUGAUGAUGAGGAUGAGGAUGAGGAUGAGGAUGAGGAUGAUUAUGGUAAUUUACAGAGGCACCCGAAAAAGAGAAAACUGAAAAGCUUGUUGUCGAGUUAUGAGUUUGCACCACGAGUACCAGCACCAUCAUCUGCAACUCCUGCGGUGCCAAAGCCAUCAUAUGGUGGACGGAAUCCGCAUACAGAUUGGACUGAGAGUGAGACUGUUAUCUUACUGGAUGCUUGGGGUGAUCGGUUUCUCAAGCAUGGGAGGAAGAGCCUUCGGUCUGAAGAGUGGCAAGAGGUUUCUAAGAAGGUCUCCCAGGAGUCAAAAAUUGAGAGAACAGAUACUCAGUGUCGGAACCGUUUAGAUACAUUGAAGAAAAAAUACAAGAAAGAGAAGAUGAAAUUGGGAGAAUCUUGGGGUUCCACUAGUAAAUGGGUGUAUUUCAAGAAGAUGGAUAUGUUGCUGUCAUCAGGCCCACAGCAAGCUGGCCUAUCAUGUGGAGUGGACUCAGGGGAGUAUACGUUCAUGAACCCUAAAGUUUAUCUGAAUAGCUCCAAUGGAAUGGAUGAGAUGAGAGAUAGCCCAGGGAAUUCGGAAUCCACCAAAGGUGAGGAAGGUGUUCCGGAGGGUCUCCCUUCUAAGAAAACGAGGAAUGAAAUGGGUAAUGGAGCUUCUCUUAAAUUGCUUGCUGAUUCCAUCCAGAAAUUUAGCGACAUAUAUGAGAAGAUCGAGAACAGUAAGAGACAACAAAUGCUGGAACUGGAGAAAAUGAGGAUGGACUUCCAUAGAGAUUUGGAGAUGCAGAAGAGGCAGAUUCUAGAGAGAGCUCAAGCUGAGAUUGUGAAAAUACGACAAGGAGAUGAAGAUAAUGAUGUGUCUGCUGAGAAUGUCAGCGGUUAAUGUAUCUUGUCAUCAUUGUAUUUUAUCCAGGGAAUUAUCCCUGGAUACAUUGUUGUGUGUGGGGAUUAUUGGAUGCUGGGAGUUGUACUAUAUCCACGGUUGUAACCCUAUUGGUCCUUGAUCUUCAAGGCAAUAAUACUGAUAUGUUGGGAACAUUUAUGAAAGUCAUAGUAAUUAAACUUUUUCUUAGUUCAUUUCCGUUUUAUUGAUAUCAUGUUAAUUGUUCCUCUUGGGGAAGG
rnacentral:lncRNA from 1 species